CAGAGCUAGGGUCUCCCCCCUCCCGGGGGGAACAAAGGCCCGAACCUCCCACCCUUUGUUGUCGAACAAAAGUUUGUUGCUUUGGCGGGACCGUCCCCCCUCGGGGGGGCUGCCGGGCCCCACGGCCGGGCAUGCGCCCGCCAGAGGUAAAAACCACAACUCUUCUCGUUUUAACGGUCUGAGCAAGUAAUUGAUAAAUCAAAUCA
rnacentral:misc_RNA from 1 species